rnacentral:tRNA from 1 species
GCAUUGGUGAUUGGGGGUAAAAUUCUUGCCUUCCACGUGGGAGACUCAGGUUCAAGCCCCAGCCAAUGCU